rnacentral:misc_RNA from 1 species
AUUUCCGUGCAAAUGAGAUUUCAAGGAGUUGUUGGGAACGAACUCACAAACAAACAAUCUGUCCGCUUCAUCAUUACAGUACCCUAACAGCUUGACAAGAUUCCGGUGACGGAUGCGAAUAAGAGUUUGAAUCUCAACCUCAAAUUGAAGUUGUGCAGCUUUCAUUUCCACCUGUGACUGUCCAGCCUCAUAUUUAAGCUUCUUGAUUGCAACCACUUCACCAUUGGGAAAUUCUCCCUUAAAAACUUGACCGCAGCCACCCACACCAAGCUGGUUCUUGUUAGAGAAACUACCAGUUGCCUUCGCUAGUUCUUCGAAAGUAUAGAGCUUGGGAACACCUUCAAGCUUCUGAAAGCCAUUAAGUGGAGUUUUUUUAUUGGAAAUAAGCUCAGUAGCGUACGCGAGAGGGAUAAGCAGAGGUUGGUCAGAUUUCUUGGGGCCAGGACCACCAUCAGAGUUGAGGGAAUCAAAGUCGCAAGACGCAAGGAUUGUCUGGCGGUCGACAUCAGCCUCCUCUCUGCUACGGCCUUCAGUUUUCCUGGGAUGGGAAAGAGAGGAAGAAGAACCUCCGUUAAUUACAGAUUUCAGCUUGGGUAGCGGUGCCCGAGGUGAGGCGUCGACGUCGACAGCUC